CGGAAUGACGCUGCGCGAAAGUGCCGGGCGGGGAGGCUGGAGGGGCAGUGAGGAGGGUGGUCGCGCCCUUAUGAGUGGCGCGAGGACGGACUGCCGACGAAGGAGUUGUUCCCUGGUGCGGGGCGCGUGGGGCUGGCCGUUCCUCUUCUUCUUCCCGCCACUCGGGCUGCUGACAGAGAAUUCGAGUCCUCGGACACGCAGCAAUGAGCAGGGCGGUUAAAAUGUCAGCCUGACGUGCUCAGGUGGAAAGCGGCGUGGAAGGUACGAUGGCGUGUGGUUAACUUGACGCUGCGUGGCAGGAGAACGAGCAGCUCGGCCCGUGGAGCGGGGUGGCAUGGCAAGGAAAGCGGUGUCACCCACGUCCAUUGUUUCCAAUCGAGCAGUUCCACGUGCAUCUCUUAAUGGUGCAACAUUUCGAUCCUUACUGCCUGGCCUUCCAAAUACAAAUGGAGUAGUCAGCUCAUCUGCCCGUGAAUAUCAGAGUGAGAACUUGCAGACGUUCGAUGGUAAAACGUGAGUGCUGUGAGGCACUGCUCUGUGUGUGAGUGCCUCUGGUAGCACAGACUGAAGUGCAGCGAAACUGCCAACCUCCUGACUUCUCUGCCAGGAAUGUAAAUCAACAUUAAAGAUGAUUUUUAAGAGAAAUAGCAAGUUAAACAUUUGUACAAACACAUCAUCAAAUAGAGGUUGCACCGCCUCUCUCUAAACCUCUUGCCUGCUGGCAAAAAUAAAACUGUUCCAGUGACAUUUUCCCUGCUCUGCUGUGACAAGGGCUGCAUAAAUAUAGACACCGUGGAUUAGAAUAGACUUCAGCAAUCUCCAUCUUCCUUUCUAGCAGCCGCUUCUGCAGUUUCCCAUAGCUAUGGGUGAAAAACGGAGCCUAAGGGCAAAUCCUCUGCUACUAUCAGGAGCUGAAGAGGUUGCUGCUCUUUGCCAAGAAAGUAUAGUCAGGUUGCUGUCACACAUAGGACAGGCAAGGACUGAUAUCCAGGGCCAGCAGGAGUGAUGCUUCUCUUGUGUGCGUGGCACUUCAAGUAAGUCAUCACAGGAAAACGUCAGCGCAGAGGAGAGAGGGGCAGCAGGCUGAAUGUUUGCAAAGUAAAUGUCCUAUAUUGGUACUGUAUUUUUAUAUGAGUUACCGUCAACUAAUGCACGUAAAAACCAAAUGCUGGAAACGAGAACAACACUGUAGAGCCUGGGAAAAGCUCCACCAGUCCUUCCUGGUUACCCACAAGAAACAGGCAAACAGCUAACUAAGCCAAAAAAUGCGUACAGCUCGGCGAGCAUAGUUGUAAAACAGCCAAGCUAUUUUCUCCUCCUCCUUGCUUUCUUUUCCUCAGCUAGUUACAACCUAGCAGGCAUCUUGCUGUCCGUGCUGCUAAACAAACACAGGCAAAUCACUCAUCCCAGACAACAAAUGGAUUUUUACAUUCUUUCUGCAUAUGUGAAUCCAUUAUCCUAAGAAGGCCCAGAAGAAAGUGGGCAUUAGUUUAAUGCAGCUCUGAAAGAGGAACUGUCCGGGUCAGGAGAGCAGGAAUGGUGGAAAGAGCUGUCUGAUUGCUAAAUCACUUUAAGCCAGCAACCAAAUCCAUUUCAGCUGCUGACCUGUUUGUGGCUGGUUUGAAGUGAGCUGGCAAUGGCUUUUAGCCCAGUUCUUAGAGGUGUCCGUGUCACAGUAUCACAGUAUUUGCUGGCAAACUUGCAAACUGAAAAGCUAAAAAAACAAUGGGCUUGCAUGUUUCCUUUCUCACCCUGAGAGCUCAGUCCCCCCAAGUCAGAUAUGGGGCACUGGUAUGUGGUAGGUCAGGGCAUGGCUCCGUGUUCAGAGCUGUACCUGUUCCCUGCUUGUUCUCAUCAGUGCACUGGUGAAUCUGUUCCUGGAGCUCCUUUCUCCAGCACUGACGUCAUUCACAUGUGAAGGGGGAAGAACAAAGACGGCGCUCGCCUGUUUUCUUGUGUGAUUUUUCAAUACCCGUUUCCCAAUCCCGACCUCCAGAGCAACAACAUCCUUUCAAACCGCCCCCUCUUGAAAUGCCACAGUAGCCAAACAGCUGCAAAUCAAAACACCUUGUAAACAAGUGACUGAAAUCCCGUGGGAUGCCCGAGGGCUUGGGCACGUCUCAGAGUGAUUAUAGUUCCUGCUAUACAAAUUAGAGUCCAUGUCGCACAGUUCGUGCCAACUCCAAGCUCUUGCUUUUUAUUUUUAGACCUAUUUGUUGAAAGGUUGUCAUGAUAUAAAGAAUGACGUUUGGUAUCAGUGAUACACAGAUAAAAUUAGAUAGUAGCCGGAAGUGAUCAUACGGCUAAUCCUCCCUACUGUGACUUUUACCACAGAAUUUGGGAUCCUAUGGGCCUCAACAACAGCUUUUCUCUGAGUGCAUUUCACUUCUCAUCAGCAGGCAGCUGAAAAAUUGGUCUCACACGGGUUAUGUGUGGUAAGUCUCACGCAAAGAAAUGAAUGUCAUUGUCAUUGCUUAUGCCAACAUCUGGGACCAUCUGGGACACUAAAGACAACAUUGUCUACGUUUGUACAGCUGAUUGAAGGUUGUUUUUAGCAAGCCUCUAAAAAAUCUUCCCUUUUUGGGCCAGCAGAGCAAGGCUUUUAAUUUCCAGGCAUGGUGUUUUGUAUGCAAAGCAGCUUAAGUCAUCAGCAGGGCCCAGUCCUGAGACUUGUUAGUCCCGCAGACAUGUCAUCCACACUGAUGCUGGAGACUUUAUUCCUUUCUUUGGAAGAAGAGGCUGCCAAAGGGGAAGAUGGGGUAAAAGGUACACUGCAUUACUUCUCUUAAGUAGAGCUUCUCAUUUGUUUUGGCUUUUUUUUUCUUCUCAACUUCAGAUUGCUUUUGUACCUUGUAAAAUGGGAAAACACAAGAUGUAACUAGUUAGUAAACACUUCCUACUGCUUAGAAACACAUGACAUUCAAAUAGGUAGCAUACCUAUGCUAUAUAUGCUAUAUCUAUUUGAUGCUAGGGCAUCAUCAGAUUAAGAUGGGAUUGGUUGCAAUUUAGCACAAAGGAAUUUGUGCUGUGGUAUUGUGGCAGAGAAAGAGUGUAUCAAAAGCACAGCUAUGAAUCAGUUGCUUUUAAGCAGGAUAUGUAAAGGUGAAUGGAGAAAAUAAGUAUGCAGUGUGAAGAUGUGUGACACUGAUGGAUUCUUUUCUUCCUGUGGCUUAUUGUAGGAGAAGUUCAAGUGCCUGGACAGGUGCUUGGACAAGUGCCUUUUGUACCAAAAAUCUGUUUGAUUGGUGUCUAACUCCUAUCACUUUGUGGCAAGAGAGGUUUCUUCAGCUUUAAGCUAGAGUAGGCAGCUCUCUGGGAAAAGAAAUCCACCACGUUCCAAUGUGGCAAGUGGAAGUGGUCCACCUAUUUUUUAAUUCUGGAAAAAAAGUUAUUUUCUUCUGGAGAACUAGAAGAAGGAUAGGGCUUCCUGAGUGCCUCCCUAGAGACUUUCUCACUUGAAAGAAGGUCGUAGGGUUCAAAGCUGUUUCUCAAGUUCUGCAGUGUAGCAUUUCUGUGAUGUCACACAUCAUUAUAAACAAGUUAUUUCAUUCAGUGUUUUGGGAAAUGAUGGGAUUGGAACAAUACACCCACAGCAGUUCCCUCCCUGAUUCCAGCCGGCUCUUUAGCGAACUGCUUAUGAGCUGUACCUGGCUACAUGAUGUGUGUCUGCCCAUGUCUGGUUACACUCUGGGUAAUUGUGUGGAGUGGAGGGGUGGGAAGGAGGAGAGGGACAUGCAUUUGCAGUGGUGUGUCACUUGAUGGCUGCCUAGUGUAAGACCCUUGGGCUCAGAAGGCCCUGGGGCUGCAUUGCUGCAAGCACUGAAUGCAACAUCUCUCCUUUUCCUAUCCUUGUGCCACUGAAAUCAGUCAGUUGCUUACAUCUGAUGGCAUAGCAGAAAAAAAAAAAGCAUGCUGGUGUUCCAUUCACUUCUGUUUAGCUCAGGUUUGAGCUAGACAUGAGAUUAAAAAAAAAAAAAAAGGAACGAGUGCUAGAAGUGAGGUGCAGCAAAGCCCAUGUAGAAAUCUGUUUGAACCCAUAGACACAUAAUCAUCUCUAGCUGGUUCCCUAAACUUUCUUCAUCUGCUGUAGUCUUUCUAGACUCAUUUCACCUAAAGACAUUCAAUUUAAAAGUCGUGAUGAUGCACAAAGAGUAUGGUCUUUGUGACCAAAGUGACCUCUGCACAAUCUCUGGAAAAUGACUGUCUUCCCUCUCUCUGUUUCAUACGCACUAGCCACCUGGCCUUGUCCUCUAACAUACUCAGCUGUGAAGACAGAGUCUCCCGCAGGGGAGGCAUUCCAUUUGAUCAAUAAGAUUAGCACAAAAGAAUACUGGCCUGCAUCAGAAGUAGUGUGGCCAGCAGGAGCAGGGAGGUGAUCAUCCCCCUGUACUCAGCACUGGUGAGGCCGCACCUCGAGUACUGUGUUCAGUUUUGGGCCCCUCACUACAGGAAAGAUGUUGAGAUCCUGGAGCGUGUCCAGAGAAGGGCAACAAAACUGGUGAGGGGUCUGGAGCACAAACCUUAUGAGGAGCGGCUGAGGGAGCUGGGAUUGUUCAGUCUGGAGAAGAGGAGGCUCAGGGGAGACCUCAUUGCACUGUACAACUUCCUGAAGGGAGAUUGUGGUGAAGAGGGAUUUGGCCUCUUCUUCCAGGCAACGAGCAGGACAUGGGGUAAUGGCUGCAAGUUGUAUCAGAGGAGGUUCAGGUUGGACAUAAGGAAGAACUUCUUCUCUCAGAGAGUGGUCAGGCACUGGAAUGGCUGCCCAGGGAGGUGGUGGAGUCGCCGUCCUGGCAGUGUUCAAGACGCAUCUGGAUGACGUGCUGCGUGAUAUGGUUUAGUACUAGUGGUGGCAAUGGUGAUGAGGAGACGGUUGGACUGGAUGAUGUUAUAGGUUGUUUCCAACCUUGUGAUUCUUGUGAUUCUUGUGAUUCUUGUGAUUCUUGUGAAUUACUCUUAGGUGGCCUGUUUUAAGGAAUUUGUUGAUCUUGUUUGAUUUGUCACUUUUUAGCCCAUGUUAAACUCUUUGAUGCUGCUAAACUACUCAAUCAAAUAAUUUAAAGGUAGCUCCAGCUAUCUGGCUGGAAAUAUUCCUUUCCUGACAAAGAACAAGAUAUUUCUUCACAUUGCUAGAUAGAUAAAAUCUGCUUCAGCUGCCCACAAAACAAAACUAGGCUGAAUCAUGUUUUCAUCAGAAGUUGCCCUACCCAAAGGAACCAGAAGAACAUUGCAACUUCCUUUUUUUCCACCAACUCUUACAACAUAGGCUCCAGCUUCACCUUUACAGGAAAAACUGUUCUUUCUAUGAUGGUUGAUAAGAGAUAUGUAUGCAUAUAUGAUGAAGAUCUGGUCUAUAGCACCUGACCUGUCCACACAUUCUGUACCCUCACACAACCCAGUCCAUCCCCCAGAUGGAGUGGAAGAAGACAGGUGGGUUGGUAUUCCCAGUCCUGCCUUUCAAUAGCUUCUGAUGACCUAGCUCUGGAUAACUGAACAGAUCUCACCACUUCCCUGGUAUAAAAGUUCUCUUGCAUCAUUUUGCAGUCAUGAUGCUCCCAUUGAACUGUGCACAUACUGCAGUAUUUAGCUGUCUGUAGUGACCUCAUGCUGGUAUGCAGAUAGAUGGUCUCAGCUCCUCAUGCAAGCCAUAAAACAGAAGGAUUUACUGGAGAGGGAGUAAGUUUGUAUUUAAAGUGUCUGCAGAGCUGAAUCAAUUCUCAGGGUUUUCAAGCUGCUGAACAGCCAGAGGCAAUCACUGCACUUCUCUCUUUCCAGUUCCAGUCUUUUACCUCUUCUAGUCAGAGGCUGUUUUCUGCUUUCUACUUUUACAGCCACUAGUUUUGUAGGGUACCACCACAUCUGAUCAUCUACACUGAUAUCCUGGUAUACGUGACCCUCCCCUUGCAGGACAGUCUGCAGAACAUCUCCCCAGCUGCCCUCCUGUCUGUGAUACCUGUAGGAGAAAUACAGGCAAAAUUCAAGUUAGACAUACAUCUGACACCAAUUGCAUCUGGCAACCACUCCAGCACUGCAGAAUUCUGCCCCAGGAUUUCUGGUUAUUUAUAAUUCAGCAUCAGAUUCGACCCAGUUGCUCCUGGUUAGAGAUCGUUUUGCAAUAACAAACUAAGAUUACAUGAAGAGCUUAAAAAAGAAUUUCACCCCUCCAGGGCUAAAUUACUUCCACUUAUAUACAACUGUCAUAUCUUAAAAGGGCAAACCCAGAAAGCUAACACUGAAAAAUGUAACUCUACAACUGAGGUUAUCUGCCUGCCCUCUCUGGGCAAACACAUCUCAUAUCUGUAAGGCCCUUCCUAGCAAAAACCAAAAUUCAAGCUAAGUGGAUGGAAGUUUUAUGUGCAGAGUAGGAAACAACAGCUUGGGAGGAGGUGUAUUUGAAUGCAGAGCCAGAUAGAAAGACAAACCUCAAACACCAUACGACUGCUUUUACAGAGCAUCUCACUCAUGUCUGGUAAAAUCACUCCAUGCUCACCCAAACUUUGCAAACUACUAAUCACCAACUGAGAAAGGCAUGGUGACGUACAUGUUACGGUAGCAUCCGGCACUGGCAAGCAAUCCACUUCCAUAUGUAGCUCAGAAUCUAUUCCAGACAUUUUAUAACUGAUGUAUUUUUCAUGAAAUAAAAUGGGAAAGCAGGGGGAAUAAAAACCUUCUGUAACAACUCACCUGUCACGGCGAAGGUCUCGUGCUGAUCAGUUCACCUUUAGUGAACUGAAUCAGGACAGGAAGAUGAAGGUCAUGCUUUCUCUGUAUUCUUUGUGAAUAUUCCCCGUCAUAUAAGAGAACAGCCACGCUUCACAUAGCGGCUCUAUUCAGCUCUGAUUAUAUACCUGGAUUAAUAAUUGAGGCACUUGAGGGGCAAAUGUGUUUCCCUGAAAACACCAGAACUACAGAGGGAGAGAGUUCAACACAAGAUGUGGAGCUGCUCACAGCCCUUUGUUCAAAAAAUUUCCUACAAAGAGGAUUGUACUCACUUCAGAGACCUGGAGGACGCAGGCUUUAUUGUCAGCUUUCCUUUUGCCCUCUUUUUCUGUGAUGGCAAAGGAGAAAAGUGCACAGGAAGAAAGGAAAGAUAAGGAAAAGAAUAAACAUUUUGUGCUGUCUUAAAAAAAAAACAACAAACAUCUUAUUUACAUAGAAAUCCUGGGUUAUAGACUUUCAUCCAAGAAAAGAGAAUUUCCAUGUUUGUUUGUUUGUUUUAGUUCUGCCUAUGGAAAAUACCUCCUGUCGAAGCAUUUUUGGUGGCUUCUUUCUUUUUUAUAUGUGAAGUCACAAUCCAGCACUGUGAAUCUUCAGAGAACACCGAGCCCAGUGACUAGCCUUGACAAGAAUCCUGGUCCAUUCUUCAGCCACAGUGUUAUCUUAAUCUCCAGCUGCUAUGAUUGCAUGGGAUGGUUCUCUCCUGGUUUGGGCUCUGUGUGGUCCCUCUCAGGAAUGACAUGAGACCAGACUGUCAGAGAAAGUUGCUGAAACUCUCCUUCAUUGAGAGAGUUAAAAAAUCACUAUUUGUAUCUCCCUGCCAUUUGCUUUCCUCUUCCCAUUAAGCGUGCUAGUAUUUCACAGAAUCACAGGGUCAUAGAGGUUGGAAGGGACCUCUGCAGAUCAUCUACUCCAACCUCCCUGAUAGAGCAGGUUCCUGAGGGUAGGCUACACAGGAAAGCAUCCAGGUGGGCUUUUAAUAUCUUCAGAGAAGAUAACUCCACAACCACUCUGGGCAGUCCGUUCCAGUUUGAUACCAUUGACUUCGUGGGCUGUGAGAGACUUACUGUAAGAGCCUGAGUGAUUCUCCAGGGUGCACAUCCCUGAAAUGUUGUCACUGAAUUCCACCCUAACUUUACUGCCAAAUAAUUCUCAGAGGUGUUGCUGUUGAAUCUGUGUGGAAAUGCUGAGGCACAACAGCAAUGAGUUCAGCUUAUAAGGAGCUGCAUGGUCCCUUGGUCAAAUGUGCUCAGCUGUGAGUGGAAGUGAGAGUGUCAGCAGUCCUUUGUGAGGCCAAGGCUGUGUGGCCAGUACCCUUCCACUAGCAAGUGGAACUAGGAUGGAAGGUGACCUUCUCCAUAGUGAGCACUGAAAUCACCUUGUGAAGUGAAAUGACUACAAAGAGUGGCAGUGAGGUAGAACGAGUAAAUGAUGUAUGCAAGGACUUUGGUAACAUGAGAGUCAGAGGUAAGUUUAGAAAUGGGGGAUUAAUAUGGGCUUCUAUGUUCGCAUCACAUGCAGCUGUACCCCUUUCAAUACAAUCCCAAGGUUUAGAGAGACUGAAUUGCUGUAGGCAUCCCAAGUUCAUUCAGUCAGAUGUAAUUUUUCAUUUAACCUUUUGAAGUAAAUCUGGCCAGUUGCCAUCCUUGGCUUCGUUGUCUCAAUCCUAGAAUUGCUUUGCAAAGAGAUCCAACAGUAUGAAAUACACCAAUAGGCAAAGGCCAUUUCAUUUAUUCUUACUUUUUGCAUAAGAAAGGGAACAAUUUGCAAUCUGUGAUUUUGUCUUGGAUGGGUAGAGCGUGUAAUCCUCCAUAACCCUGCUGCAUUCUCAUUUUAGCAGAGAGGAUCAAGUAGCUCCCCUCGCUGCUGUUUCCUUGCUGUUGCUUCCUGUUAAGUUUUCUGUCCUCUUGAAGCAGCCUGUAACUCACUGACUGAUUGGCAGAAAUCGGGUAGGAUUAGUUGAGGUUCUUGAUCAAAACUAUUAAUUUUCCAGUAGAUCUGAGGCUUUGCAGAAAUUCUGGGCAGUGGAACACUUACACAGACCAUCUUCCACUGCUUAUGCAGGGGAUACUUUGCAUCCAAGUCUCUGGCAACUUUGGAAACACUGAUUGGCUCUCGUGCUUGGCUCAGAGUUGACAUUUGGAUGAUACUGCUUCCCCAUAGACUGACUCUCCCAUGGGAAAGGACCCCCAUUCCCAGUCAGAAAUUAAUGAAACAGUCCUGGCAAUGAGUUGGUUCCAGCAGCUCAGCUGUUUGAAAAUCCAGACUAAAAUUCCCAAAUCAGAAUGAUAACCACCACACCCAGGGUUUUCAGAUGUAUGGCUUUCUUUUAAGUUCAUUGGCAAUCUUGAGAGAUUUCCCGUUGAUUUCAGUGAGUUUUGAAUGCUGAAUUUCACGGAGGGAUUUUCAGCUUAAAAAAGUCCAAACCUCAUGCUAUCUACCUUCAGAUGCUUGGAGUCUUAUCAGCUAUUAUAGUCACCUGUAGGGGUAUAUGCCAUUCCAGAGAGCAGAUUAACUCAUAUCUCUUUCCAUUAGCUAUAGGUUGGUUCAGGACCAUUUAGGUCUUGUUAAAUGUCUGACAUUAGGCAGUCAUUCUGAGUGGUCUCAGUUUAUUUUCUCUGCCCCUCUUGACAGCUUGAAGAUAAAGGCACUUUUAUCUUCCCAUAGAUAAAAAAAAGUUGGAAAUCUUUGAAAAAAAAGCUUUACAAGUACAAGGAAUUAUUAUUCUUCACCAAAGGAAACCCAUUGUCAAAGGAAUCCACACACACAAGCUUCUGUCUUCACCAGUCCCUCUCAUCUCUUUCAGUACAACCACAUUACCACAUUACUGACUAUCAGUUCUUGAGCAUCCCAGCCAUUGUUCAUUCAUAUUUAUUUCAGCUCCAGCUAGUGUAGAGUCUAGAGGCUAAGAGCUUUCUGCAAGAUUGGUUUCAAGUAGAUAUGCAGAGAAAGGCAGCUGGGCAGUGGGCCUAUUUCCCUUCCAGCAGUUUUUUUGUUAUGAUUUGAGAUGUGAAAUCUGCUGAUGGGGUGGAGGCUGAACUGAUUUGCUGAAGUAAUUUGUUCACUGAUAUGAAAACCUCCACAUUUAAAAGAAAUCAGACCAAAACCUCAUAUUAUCUCAUGACCCCAAGAGUGGCUUUGCAUUUGGCCACAAGAAGUGUGGCAUUUUUUUAGUAACAUGGAGAUGGGAUUUUUUCAUGCAAUGACUCUGUUCAGCAAGGGAUGCACAGUCGUGACUGAGGGAACUUUUCAGUUCCUUGUGAAUUACCAAAUCAAACAGCCUUGUCUAAUCCCUGUUAUAUCCUUUAGAGUUGAUCCACUUUUAUUUUUUAAAUUCUCUGUCAAAAUCUAUUUUUGAAGUUGUUAUUGCAAUAGCUGCCAGAAAUGAGGAUGCAAAUGCCUCCCCCCAUUUUGUAUAAGAGAAUAAGCGAGUGGGAUCACGCAAACAUAGACCUAAUCUCACAGAUGAGGAUCCUAACGGGCUGUUCAAUCAUUACUGAGUCACAAGCCCUUCCUGAGAUAGUACUAAGUUCUUUUCAUUGAUGGAAGGCAAAGAAAAUGGGCAGGGCAAGGGAAAAGGUAUGUGCAAAGAGGAUUUGGCUUGUUUAAGAACAAAGGGAGUGAAGGUCUAUCUGGUAGACCUAAUUCUCAGUCAUUUGUACAGGGCAAUGUUGUCACUGGGAGUCUCUCCAUUGAUCUCAGCAGGCCUCAGUGCCCUGAUCUCCAGUCUCUCUUUGCCCUCAGUCAUUACAAGCAUGAUAGUGCUUGCUAAAUAACGUCAAUGAACGUUGUAUCAGUAUGUUCAGCCCCUACCUUCUGCUAUCUGUUUCAAGUAACUUGCUAGCUGGUUCAGAGAUUACAAAGCAAGAAGAAGAAGAAGAAGAAGCCGGGAUCAUUAUUAGUUUGAGCAACUACAUCCUGUAAACUGCAAGAUCACACUGAACUGCUUUUUCUUGGAAACACAGAAAAACUUUCAGGGAUUUUUUUUUUCUUUAUUUAAGAAAUGCUGGCAAAUGCAGAAAUCCACAAGCCUUUUUUUUUUUUUUUCCCUAGUCAAGAUUUAUCAACUUUCAGUUUCCUAACAUUAUUUAUUUAUUUGUCUGCCAGUAUAAAGAGCUCUCCAUUAGCAAAACUCUGUUUUUAUAUAGGCAUACAGAGAUUGCAAUCGAGGCAGCCUUUCACCUGAUCUUUGUUUAAGCGGAUUGAGCUCCUGGAGUCAUUCACUUCAAGGCACAUUUUCUAGUCUUUUAAUCAAUCCAGUAUCUCUUCUCUGUACUUUUCUCAAUGUGUUAUCAUCCUUCUGGAAUUAUUCACAAAUAACCUUUUCAUUAGUCAAGCCGUUCUUCAGAUGGUUGAAUAAUAUUUGCCUGAUGAAUUUACACUAACCUUCCUGUUGGUUGGUUAAAUUGUUUGUGAGUUAUUAACAUGAACAGCUAUGGAGGUUUCCUUUUCUACACCUCCACUGGCUGUAGAAAACAGUUUAAUGUGUUGUUAGUUCUUCUCCUGGACAAGCCAAUAUGCCAUCUGCCAUCAAUACUAGCUGAAGCCACAGUGAAAUACCAACGUGCUAACAUGUAAAAACGUUCCCGUGUCUCAGGAUGGAAAGGGAGAUUAAAAGAAUGCCAUGACAAAGAAACAGUGAUUCUUGGGUUAGCUCAGCCCUUCUUGUUUCCUUCAGAUUGCCAGAUUACUUAGGUAUGCAAGACAUUCUGAGAGAGACAUAUUAUAUACACCAACUGUACUCCUGAACUGCGGAACUCUCGAAACAAUGACAUGUUUAUCACCUCAGUAAGCUUCAUAAAUAGUUGCUUCAACUAAUGCUGGUAACUCUAUCUAGUGCUUCUAAACCUAUCAAUCCCAGAGAUUCAUUUUACUUACCAGGCUCCAUGGUAAGUGACUGACAUAGUGGGGUAUUUGUGAACAAACAGAAGGCUGACGUGACUUCUGGGCAAAAAAAAAUCACACCAUGUUAAGCUUUUCUCAUUGAGAAUCUCCUCAGUUAUUGUCAUUUACAAUUGAAAGAGCUACACGUCCACAAGAAAGCUGUGUCUUUACAGUUACACAAAUUUCAGCUCAGCUGAGUAUAAAGCCAGAUGAACUCCUUUCUCUUUGUCUACAAUGUUUUACCAUAGCUUGCUGCAGUGAAACAGCCUGUGGAACUUCCACUUUAGCUAUUAGUUAGAAAGCCAUUUGUUCAAUUUCACGUUCUAGGCUUCGGCUGAACUCUGCUUUCUUCCCAUCAAAUGUUUCCACUGAACACACAACUUGGUGUGAAAUAGCCCCUUCCCUAUCCUGCAGCCUCCCCUGACCAUACCUCAACCAGAUAGGAAGUUGUGGUUGUAUUUGCUCUUGUCCCUCUGAAGCCAUAGAGCCAAUACAGCCCAAUCUCUCUUCUCAGCUACACGACACUCAAAUCCCAUCAGCCUCUCCCCCCGUCCCACCAGGGGAAUAUCAGGAUGGUGAGAAAGCUUGUAUCCUAGAGCAUUACUCUUUUUCUGCAGUUUGGAUCUUUGGAAGCAGUUCUCAGCCAUCAGUAUGGCGAAAUAGGCUCUUUCUGCUGCUUUUCAACUAAAUUCAGAAAACCACUGCCACCUCCAAGCUUUGAUCUUGAGCCAAAGCCAAUGACUGUCUCCUUUGUUCCUCAGCUCUUUUUGCUAUGACAGACACAAGUACCCUCCUGUAGCUUUUCCUCUUGUUCUCUGUUCCCUCCAUUCCCAAGAACUUGGUUAGGACUGUGCAACCUCAUCAUCUCUGCAGGAAAAGAUGCGUGUGAACUUCUGCUCGUAAGUCACAAAGACAGUGCUAGACCAAGGGCAGUGGUGUUGGCAGAACCUAGGUGAUUUGGCUCUAAAUGUUAAGACAAUGAGCUUUCCUGCUAUUGUUUUCCACCAGUAUGCCUUGCUACAGGAGGUCAUGCACAGUCUGUCCUGGAUGCUAAACAUGCCCAAGAGGGAAAGGAAAUGACCAUAUCAGGUAUCUGGGGCCAAAGAAGAAGCAAUUUGUUAAUGUAGCAAAAAAUUUUGAGGGAAGACACUACAGGUAGCAAAGUAUUUCCAAGAUGCUCAGAGUCAAUUCAAACAUGCCACCUACUUGACCUGAGCUUGGAGACUUGGUAGAUAUGGGGCAGAUGCCACUGAAGAACAAAGGAAGAUGAGCUUCUACGCUCCCUAAGGAUUUAUUGUAAAAGAUGGUCCUUCUCUCUCUUCUGGUCUCUGGACUUAGGAUAAAUACCUCAGGUCUACUCUGAAAGCAGAAAGCUUUCAUGCAGUCAAAAGCUGAAGACAAAAGGCAUUCAGAAUUUCCCCCAAAGUCAUAUGAGAAUAGUCUUUCUUAUAUUACUUUGCAAAAGUACAAACUUUUUAAUGUGGAUACCUUGAGUCUACCCCUCCUCUGCCAGAGCCUGAUUUGUGUAAUGCUGAGGAGAUAGGGCACAUUCUUAAAUGUGUCUACUCAUUUAGGAUAUGCCAGUUUCAGCCUGUGGUUAGGGCGCUAAGCAAACGUCACAAUCAUUAGUUUCAAAAUACUGUGUGUUCAGUACUUCUGGAGCUCUUAAUGUCUCACUUUCUUGGCAAUUAAAGUGACCCUAGGCGUGAUGACAGAGAGGAAGGUGAGCUCUUGAGCUCUUCACCCUGGGUAGAGAAUGUGGAGAAAUCCGUGAUUCAUUAUCUUCCUACACAUCCCAAAGUAGUACAAGUCAACACUAGUGAGCCAUGAUCCCUUAGGAACUUUGUGUGCUCUGAAUCUCAUAGAAUUGGAGAAGGUAGAAUUGAGGAGCAGGUCUGAAUUCCUGCCAUGAAACUUCCUGUGUCUCAAAGCCUUUUCAGCUCACUGACUUGAAGUACACUGCCUGUGUGGCUCAUAGGCAAAUGAAACCAAAAGAAAAGAGAAACCAACCUAACACUGAGGCAGGUAAGUGUUCUUUCAUAGUUUUUAAGUGCCACCGAGGGAGAAGCAUUAUCAUACAAAGCAUUGCAAAUACAGCUGCAAUUUCUUUGAAUCCCUCCCUAACAUUUGUGGUAGAUCCCUUUGGCCAUGUAUGUUUCAGUUCUUUCCUAAAACUUUGCCACGGCAUUUUGGACAAAGAAUUCAAGUACCUGGCAGCUGGAACCAUGCCUCUAUUCAGCCAUCUAAAGACUGACAUUCCAGGCCUCCUCUCAUGGAGAAGAGUCUUGGUCCUCUAACUGAGCCCCAGCAUCCUGAGUAUAAAGCCUGUCAGAUUUCAUUGUUAACGAGUGAAGAAGUAAAUUUGCUCUAAUUAUUCUAUGAAUAGCCUUGAUGGAAUUUUACAGGGAAGGAGUUUUGCCUAGAGAUUAUAAGAGAAGACUCUGAGCCAGGACUCAGGUUUUAUUUCUGAUUCUGCCCUGAUUCCUUGACUGGCCCUGAUGAAUGUUAUAUCUCAGUUUCUCCCAUCUGUAAAAAGGAGGGAUGAUGUCAAACUGCCUGACAUGAGUGUUCGUAGGCUUAAUUAACACCAGUGAACCAAUCUAAGUUCUCAGUUGAAAGACUCGAUAGCAAUAAAGAAAUAUUCCUAACUGCCUUUGGUAUUGGGCAUUCUUUUUCAUGUGCAGAUGACACAGCUCUCAGUGAGGGAGAAUAGAGCUUUCAGUCUACUAAUUGGUGCCUGAAUAUUAAGAAAAACUGAUGUGCAACUGAGUAAUGAAUUCACUAAAACUGCAUUUCUUCUUCUGAGCAAACUUUUGCUCAACUAUUUGUUAGUCUAGAAUUUUCAAUGAAUUCCUUUAUGCAAACAAAUGUUUUUGCAAACAAUUUACUGUGACUGUUGAAUAGUUUCUGCCUGUGGAGAUUGGCCAAUCUACUAAUGUGUUAUUGUGUCUGCACUUCAAGUGGAUAACUCCCAUAUAGAACUCUCCGAGUCUGACCAUUGAAACCAGUUCUUUACCCAUUUGUUCACAAUGUCCUAACUUGGAAGUUGUGAUAGUGUCCAGCUUUGCUGAAGUAGUGGUACAAUGCCUUCCAAGAAACCAUGGCUUGAAUAAUUCAUACAUUGUAUUUACCUCUGUGUGUGUGUGUUUCUAUGCGUGUACUUUUUGAAAGCAGACUUCUGAACCACGGUGUGCUCAUAAUCUAAAAGCCAGUCAGUAUGAUAAUUAAGUGGAUUUGUAUCUCAAAGUACAAUUUCUUGAACAUGUGUUGUUUUCCAUUUUAUGGUUUUCCAUUUUACUUCAGACCAGGAUUUUUAAAGCAAGUGUCUUUGUCCUUAACAUCCCACUGAGUCAUGAGUCAAACAGGACUUCUGCACUUGACUUGACAGAGCUACUUGUAGUUAUGUCAUUCUCAGAAGAUUUUCCAUCUCUAACUUCAAAAGGAAUGCUAAUCUUUUUAACCUCUGCUUUCCCCAGUAAAUAUCAAACAUAUGGUCUGCAGGAGAUAUGGACCACCAACAAAAUCAUGGGAAGCUCAUGGGCUUUGAGAAUGGAUGUGAGCAAGACGCUCCAAUAGAACAGGAUUGGCAAUGCUCCCAGCUUGUGUAGGCUUGUCAACAUAAGCAACAUAGAUCCCAGGCACCAUCCACUCUGUGUAUAUCCAGGCUUUAAACUUAAACCAGAUCUCCAGCUCCAACUCUCACAUCUUUGCUGCUGAUGUCCUGCUCUGUCCUGUGUCUGUUGUGCCAUCUCCUGUAAUUUGGAGAGCCCGCACAGUUGGUUUCCCCUGCAACUGGGAAACUGAGACUCAGCGUGCUCUUCAUCAUCUGUACUUCUUGCUAGUAAUGUUACUUUUCUGGUGAAGUCAGUAAUUGCUUCUGGGGAUGCAAAGUAAGGCCAAGCAUGCAGGAAUUGGGAGGUUGAGCCUUUUUUUUUUUAGAGAAAGAGCUCAUUCUUUCUCGAAGCCAUGAGACACUUGAGGAAGAUGGUGCCUGAAGGAUCUGUUCUACUGCAAAUUUGGAGCCAACCUCCUCAGUGGGUUCUCCUCAGCUCUGGUAUGGUCACACUCAAGGCUGUCAUUUGUAAUGGACAACAUGACACCCGUGUCCUGCUGAGGUACACUGAACUGUCACAAGACAGAGACAGGAGACUGCCUGAAUCUCUUAACCCUCCUCUGUCAGAGAUCUCUCACCUAGGUACUGACUCUGAUUCACUGCAAUUAUACACAAAGGCUGGUGGCAGAGCAGCCAGAACUGGUGUUAGAAGACAAGCCUCCCUCCUCUUUACACUGUACAAAUCUCCAGAGUGCCGUGUUUGGGUAAUGCAUCCAGCCUUCCUUCCUUGAACAAUGAUAGGUAUCCAUGACACUGAGCAAGAGAACUUUGAGGAAGUUUUCUGUUUCAGACUGGCCUUUGGGCUUAUGUCUGAAGACUCAUGUUGGGCAGUGUGCUAGAGAUAAUCCAGUAGUCAAGCAGCACUACAGGCAUGAAAUCAAGUACCUGAAAAUUACUGUAUGUGAAGAACGCAGUGGUUGGUGCUGACAUCUGACACAGCCAGUGCAGCUUGGGCGAGCAAGUGGCUGGCUGUUGUUUCUAGCCUAUCCUCCACCAAAAGCACACCAAGGGCCUUUGUAAAUGUGUGGCUACCUCCCCCUAACAGUACUCUCAUGAAUGUCUCAGUAAGAGCUAUUUCCAUUUGCCAGGAGGUGUGGUAGCUAGCCUAAGGCCGUGCAUUGGGCUGUGGUAAAGCACAGUGUUACGAUUCCCAGGCCCCCAAAUUUUCUGUGCAAUUAAAGACAGAAAUCUUUCUUUUAUCAGUUCUGUAACACGGCACCUGGUGGCACUCAGGCAGUCAUCUGAAGGUUUUCAUGAAGCCUUUAAAGCCCUGGACAGAAUGGUUGAACUUACUGUUGGAGUCUCUCACCUUGUUUUCUUGCAAACAGAGAGUCAGAUCUCUUGUAACAAUAUGAACUGUGAAUGUAUAUACUGCAGUAUGUUUUUUAUGCCAGGGUUAUUUACCAAAAUUGGGCCUUUUGGGAAGGAGGAGAUGAUUUUGUGGAGUUUCCUACUUAUUCACGAAUGUAUUUGCACAAUGUAAGCACUCUCUUGAACAGGCUGAUCUUCCAUCCCUUCCAGGACUGGGUCUGCACCACUAGGCACUACUUUGCCAACAGCUGAUGAAGUUUUCCUGUUCUGGGGAAGGGCCCUGCUCUUUACACACCAGGGAGCACAAAUUCUGUCCCAGCUACUGCUGUCAAGUGAACUUGGUGUACCUCGUGGGAAGCUACAGGUGUUGAUGGCACACUGUAGCUACUGGAAGGUUUUGUCUAAGUUGUGGCCAGAAGCAGGAGGAGUGAGAACAGCCUCUUUGCCCUCACUAUCUGAAGUGUCUGCUACCCACAGCCCAGCUUGUGUUGCCAUGGAGACAUUGCCCUGAUGGCCUGCAAAUUCUGAUCAUUUCAGUGAAAAUAAUUUGAUGCAAUCAACAGAGACAUGGGGUUUGCAGUUGCCACACACACACAGAUACACACACUCCUGCGACUGCCUUCUUUGUGUCAUGAUUUCAGCAAGCGAGCACACAAAUUUGCUUGUAAGACAGGAGCAUGUCAGCCAGAGGGGAUGGUUACAAACAUGGCUUUCUCCAACUCAGAUUAACAAGACCUCCUCCUGCUGCUUGGAACAAUGCAUUGUUACCACAACACGACAGCUAGUUAAGUAAAAAAAAAAGCCAAACUCAAUCCACCCAAACAUUAAAGCUUUCCCCUCCCCUUCACCAACAGACUUUUCUUGUCAGGUUUGAAUUGUUUGCCAGUGAGCGGUGGAAAAAAGCUGUUGCUCUGUCUUGGCCCAUAUUUAUUUGCUGCCUCAAAUCAAUAGAAGGUAGUACUGUGAAGCUAACAUCAGGGGGUGCAAGAAAAUGGCAUUGCCUUGUAGUAAAAUUAUGGCUACUUUCUUAGAGAGCUGAGUCCCACUUGUGCCUAUUUUGUGCUACUCCAUUUCAGCUACACUGCCUAGGCUGACAUAGCUGGGCUAUGUGAUGUAAUUUCAGUUUUGCUAAACUAAGAGCAAAAUCCCAGAAAGCACAAGCAGCAUUACCCAGCCUCAGUGGACAUACCCAGCCUUGGCUACGUUGCCUCUCCACAUCUCAGCCCAGUGUGAGGCACGCCCGGAGGGCAGUAGGAGAGAUAUUUGGUCUUGCUCUUACUAGAGGGAUGCUGCUACAUGCUUGCAAGUGAGCCAGGUAGUGGAUGGGCGUUGUAUAGAACUCCAGUCUCCCAGUCUGUCAGGCUUGAAAGUUUUUCCAGCUUUUAAUUUUGUCUAGAGUUUCUCUCUUAAGACUCCCCCCUCCUUCAAACAGAGCCUCAACUCUGGCUGGGUCCCAGAGAUAGAUACCAAAUGGUGCUUUUUUCCCUUUCUUUUGCUCUUUCUUCCUUCUCGUGAAGCUGGCAGACUCUCCAAACACACAUCCAACCAACGCACAGUGCAUUCGAAAACAGGCCAUCUGGCUGAGCACUCCUUGAGAAUGAGGAGACAAGAAAAACAACCCUCUUGGAGCUGGCAGCCGAAAGGCAGGCAGCCCGUACGGGGACUUGAUCUCGUGGUGCAAUCCAAGAGCCAUCCAAUCCAAGGGCAUUGCAAAAAAGCUCUUUCCUAAUGAGCAGAAUACGGCUGUCUCCAGAAGCGGCUCCAAGUCAACAAUUUGAGUGGGAUGCUGUAACUCUCCUUGCUGCACAUGUGCUCAUUAAUUAAAGCCACUUUGGAAGAUGCCCCUGACACCCCCGCCAGAGCUGCCAGCCUACCCUCCUCAAAAUCCUGCUUGCUGCUUUGCAGCCCCCUGCUGGGCAGGGAACUGCAGAUCCCAAAGGAAUGAUGGAGCUUCAGCAUCCAAUCUUAACCACAAAAUGGACCCAUUGCAUCGCUGAUGAGCAGCUGCACGGGGAACGCAGUGCUGGAAGGAAGUUGCACUCCAUUUGCUUUGCUGUCAUUUUCUUCCCAUCUGAGUUUGGUAACAACCAGAGAGCUGCAGGCAGAAAACCACUCCGGACAGAUCAGCAGGCAACAGGGAUGGAAGUGAGCUUAGCAACCGUGUGUUGCAAUCCUU